rnacentral:rRNA from 1 species
AUUGAACGCUGGCGGCAGGCCUAACACAUGCAAGUCGAACGAGUGGCGGACGGGUGAGUAAUGUCUGGUAAACUGCCCGAUGGAGGGGGAUAACUACUGGCAACGGUAGCUAAUACCGCAUACCAUCGGAUGUGCCCAGAUGGGAUUAGCUAGUGGGGGGGGGAACGGCUCACCUAGGCGCCGAUCCCUAGCUGGUCUGAGAGGAUGACCAGCAACACUGGAACGAGGAUACGGUCCAGAACCCGAAGGGAGGCAGCAGUGGGAAAUAUUCAACAAGGGGCGCAAGGCUGAAGUAGCCAAGCCGCGUGUAUGAAGAGGGGCUUCGGGUCGUAAAGUACUUUAAGCGAGGAGGCGUUACUCACAGAAGAAGCACCGGCUAACUCCGUGCCAGCAGCCGCGGUAAUUC